rnacentral:rRNA from 1 species
UACGUAGGGGGCAAGCGUUGUCCGGAUUUAUUGGGCGUAAAGAGCGUGUAGGCGGCCUUACAGGUCAGCUGUGAAAACUCGAGGCUCAACCUCGAGACGUCGGUUGAAACCGUAUGGCUAGAGUCCGGAAGAGGAGAGUGGAAUUCCCGGUGUAGCGGUGAAAUGCGCAGAUAUCAGGAAGAACACCCGUGGCGAAGGCGGCUUUCUGGGACGGUACUGACGCUGAGGAGCGAAAGCGUGGGGAGCGAACAGG